UAUUCCCUGCUUGCAGAACCUGAGCCUGAUCUGGAUGUUGCAAUAGCGGCCGCUGCUGUUGUUGCUGGUGUAACUGGGGCUGGUUCACUAGCGAGGGAGGAUGCAACUCUGAAGACUUUUGCUUCCAUUUAACACCAGCAUCACGCCCAAUAGGAGACAACUUACCAGAAGAUUGCAUUUGGCUUACUCCUUGGUUGACUUCUGUCCCUGUCUCGCUGGCAGCAGAAUUUAUUGGUGGGUUUCCAAUUGAAUCUAAUGACGGAACUGCAACCUUCAUUUGAGUAGCACCGGCGGCAGAUACCUCUGCAGCAUUAGUUAAAUUGUUGGAGCCCUGAAGAGACGUUUUACCUAUCUGUGAAGUGUUGCAAAUAUUGCGCUGUUCACUUUUAAGUUCACCAGCUUGCAACUUGUUUGACGGUUCAGAAUUCAGUGAACGUUUCCGUUGCAGAACACCUUGAAGAGCUGCUUGACUUUGAGGAGUCAACUUUGGCCGCAAUUGCACCUGUUGCUGUGGAUGCAUCAACAUCCGGUGGUUGGAAGAACCGGAAACUGAGGUUGGAACAGAUUGGUGGGGCAAAUUAGGACCCAAUACACUCAAUGAGGCAAGAGCUUGAUUGGUACUGUCAGAAUUAGGAGGAAUUUGCUGCUUUUUGGAUAGAGGCACUUGGCCAGAAUUUAUCUUAGAGUGGGGAUGCUGCGGCUGACUCACCUUUUGCUUUGCAGGUUGGGCAAGCGUUCCCUGACCUUGCAACAACUGUGUGGCUUGCUCACCUUUCUCUGCAGAUUGAUUCACUUGAUCUGUAGGAAGGCCUUCCGAUAAAGAGGGAUCAAUCUGCAUGUUUUGUUGUAUCAUCGAUUUCCCUCUCCCCACGCCCUUCAAAAAUUUAGCUUGUUUCUG
rnacentral:misc_RNA from 1 species